rnacentral:rRNA from 1 species
GAUGAACGCUGGCGGCGUGCUUAACACAUGCAAGUCGAACGGAAAGGCUCCUGCUUGCAGGGGUACUCGAGUGGCGAACGGGUGAGUAACACGUGGGUGAUCUGCCCUGCACUUCGGGAUAAGCCUGGGAAACUGGGUCUAAUACCGGAUAGGACCACAUUUUGGAUGGUGUGGUGGAAAGUUUUUCGGUGUGGGAUGAGCUCGCGGCCUAUCAGCUUGUUGGUGGGGUAAUGGCCUACCAAGGCGUCGACGGGUAGCCGGCCUGAGAGGGUGUACGGCCACAUUGGGACUGAGAUACGGCCCAGACUCCGACGGGAGGCAGCAGUGGGGAAUAUUGCACAAUGGGCGCAAGCCUGAUGCAGCGACGCCGCGUGGGGGAUGACGGCCUUCGGGUUGUAAACUCCUUUCGCUAGGGACGAAGCGUUUUUGUGACGGUACCUGGAGAAGAAGCACCGGCUAACUACGUG